AUUGAACGCUGGCGGCAUGCCUUACACAUGCAAGUCGAACGGCAGCACGGGGGCAACCCUGGUGGCGAGUGGCGAACGGGUGAGUAAUACAUCGGAACGUAUCCAGUAGCGGGGGAUAACUUCUCGAAGGAGAAGCUAAUACCGCAUACGACCUACGGGUGAAAGAGGGGGAUCGCAAGACCUCUCACUAUUGGAGCGGCCGAUGUCGGAUUAGCUAGUUGGUGGGGUAACGGCCCACCAAGGCUAAGACGGUAGCUGGUCUGAGAGGACGACCAGCCUCACUGGAACUGAGACACGGUCCAGACACCUACGGGUGGCAGCAGUCGAGAAUUUUUCUCAAUGGGCGAAAGCCUGAAGGAGCGACGCCGCGUGGGGAUGAAGGGCUUCGGUCCGUAAACCCCUGUCAUUUGCGAACAAACCUUAUGAUUGAACACUUCAUGAGCUG
rnacentral:rRNA from 1 species